UUGCGAUGAGGUCUAUUUGAUUGAAGACAGUGGAGGUGAUCCGACUGAAGAAUGGAAAGAAGAAUAAUCGAUGGGAAUAGGCUGAGGAGUUACCUCAGUAGAAAUUGGAUCGAUGGGAGUUGAUUGAACUGAUUUUUCCCCUUCGGCUGAAACCUCAGCCUGUGGAAGUUCUGCCGAAGCUUUUUCGACAGGUGUUGGUGGAGGAGCAGAACGGAUUUUAAUUGCAACAGUCUUACGCCGCUUCUGUUGCGGCGGCUGAGUGGACUGUUUAGAGUCCAUCGAUCGUUUAUCGGAUUGCGGGGCCGAUGAAGUUGAAGUAGGAAUCGGCUGAAAUAAGAC
rnacentral:lncRNA from 1 species